rnacentral:rRNA from 1 species
ACGCUAGCGGCAGGCCUAAUACAUGCAAGUCGGAUGGGAUUCAGGGAGUAGCUUGCUACGAACUGAUGAGAGUGGCGCACGGGUGCGUAACGCGUGAGCAACCUACCCAUAUCAGGGGGAUAGCCUCUCGAAAGAGAGAUUAACACCGCAUAACAUCAUUUACCGGCAUCGGUUGAUGAUCAAAUAUUUAUAGGAUAUGGAUGGGCUCGCGUGACAUUAGCUAGUUGGAGGGGUAACGGCCCACCAAGGCUACGAUGUCUAGGGGCUCUGAGAGGAGAAUCCCCCACACUGGUACUGAGACACGGACCAGACUCCUACGGGAGGCAGCAGUAAGGAAUAUUGGUCAAUGGAGGGAACUCUGAACCAGCCAUGCCGCGUGCAGGAUGACUGCCCUAUGGGUUGUAAACUGCUUUUGUCAGGGAAUAAACCUUUCCACGUGUGGAAGCUGAAUGUACCUGAAGAAUAAGGAUCGGCUAACUCCGUGCCAGCAGCCGCGGUAAUACGGAGGAUCCAAGCGUUAUCCGGAUUUAUUGGGUUUAAAGGGUGCGUAGGCGGUCCUAUAAGUCAGUGGUGAAAGACGGCAGUUUAACUGUCGCAGUGCCUUUGAUACUGUAGGACUUGAAUCUAUUUGAAGUGGGCGGAAUAAGACAAGUAGCGGUGAAAUGCAUAGAUAUGUCUUAGAACUCCGAUUGCGAAGGCAGCUCACUAAGUUAGUAUUGACGCUGAUGCACGAAAGCGUGGGGAUCAAAC